UGGGGAAUAUUGCACAAUGGGCGCAAGCCUGAUGCAGCAAUGCCGCGUGUGUGAAGAAGGCUCUAGGGUUGUAAAGCACUUUCAAUAGAGAAGAAAAGCUUGAAAUUAAUACUUUCAAGCCUUGACGUAAUCUAUACAAGAAGCACCGGCUAAUUCCGUGCCAGCAGCCGCGGUAAUACGGGAGGUGCGAGCGUUAAUCGGAAUUACUGGGCGUAAAGCGAGCGUAGGCUGUUAAUUAAGUCGAAUGUGAAAUCCCCGGGCUCAACCUGGGAACUGCAUUCGAAACUAUUUAACUAGAGUAUGGGAGAGGAAAGUAGAAUUUCCGGUGUAGCGGUGAAAUGCGUAGAUAUCGGAAGGAAUACCAGUGGCGAAGGCGGCUUUCUGGAACAAUACUGACGCUGAGGUUCGAAAGCGUGGGGAGCAAACAGG
rnacentral:rRNA from 1 species